rnacentral:rRNA from 1 species
AACCUUUACACUACGCGCAAGCGUGAUAAGGGGAUCUUAAGUGCUCAUGCAUUGCAUGGGCUUUUGUUAACGGUAAAAACGUUUUCGAAUAAGUGGUGGACAAGACUGGUGCCAGCCGCCGCGGUAACCCCAGCGCCACAAGUGGGGAUCGUAUUUAUUUGGCCUAAAGCGUCCGUAGCCGGACUGUUAAAUCUCUUGUGAAAUCGUUAAGCUCAACUUAACGGCGUGCAGGAGAAACUGGCAGUCUAGGAACUGGGAGGCGUCAGAUGUAUGCUUGGGGGAGCAGUAAAAUGCUAUAAUCCCGAGUAGACAACCGGUGGCGAAGGCGUCUGACGAGAACAGGUUCGACGGUCAGGGACGAAAGCGAGGGGAGCAAUCCGG